rnacentral:rRNA from 1 species
ACGCCCAACACACAAAACAAGCGGUGAGUGCUUUGGGGUGGGGUGACUGCGUACCUUUUGUAUAAUGGGUCAGCGACUUAUAUUCUGUAGCAAGGUUAACCGUAUAGGGGAGCCGAAGGGAAACCGAGUCUUAACUGGGCGUUAAGUUGCAGGGUAUAGACCCGAAACCCGGUGAUCUAGCCAUGGGCAGGUUGAAGGUUGGGUAACACUAACUGGAGGACCGAACCGACUAAUGUUGAAAAAUUAGCGGAUGACUUGUGGCUGGGGGUGAAAGGCCAAUCAAACCGGGAGAUAGCUGGUUCUCCCCGAAAGCUAUUUAGGUAGCGCCUCGUGAACUCAUCUUCGGGGGUAGAGCACUGUUUCGGCUAGGGGGUCAUCCCGACUUACCAACCCGAUGCAAACUGCGAAUACCGAAGAAUGUUAUCACGGGAGACACACGGCGGGUGCUAACGUCCGUCGUGAAGAGGGAAACAACCCAGACCGCCAGCUAAGGUCCCAAAGUCACAGUUAAGUGGGAAACGAUGUGGGAAGGCUCAGACAGCCAGGAUGUUGGCUUAGAAGCAGCCAUCAUUUAAAGAAAGCGUAAUAGCUCACUGGUCGAGUCGGCCUGCGCGGAAGAUGUAACGGGGCUAAACUGUGCACCGAAGCUGCGGCAGCGACGCUUAUGCGUUGUUGGGUAGGGGAGCGUUCUGUAAGCCUGCGAAGGUGUCCUGUGAGGGAUGCUGGAGGUAUCAGAAGUGCGAAUGCUGACAUAAGUAACGAUAA